rnacentral:rRNA from 1 species
UACGUAGGGUGCGAGCGUAAUCGGAAUUACUGGGCGUAAAGCGUGCGCAGGCGGUUAUGUAAGACAGUUGUGAAAUCCCCGGGCUCAACCUGGGAAUUGCAUCUGUGACUGCAUAGCUAGAGUACGGUAGAGGGGGAUGGAAUUCCGCGUGUAGCAGUGAAAUGCGUAGAUAUGCGGAGGAACACCGAUGGCGAAGGCAAUCCCCUGGACCUGUAC